AUGAUGUUUGAUCCAGAAAUAUUUGGUAUUUCUCAUAGUGGUCCUUAUCUUAAAAUUGAGAGACAACCAAGAAAGUAUGGUUAUCGAUUUCGCUAUAAAACAGAAGGUGUUUGUCAUGGUGGAAUUCUUGCAGAUACAGAUGGUGCUGUUAAUUGUGGGAGUAGUAAAAGCUGCCCUAAAAUUAAGGUUCAUAACUUAAAUGGGCAACGAGCAAAAGUGGUGUUGCGGUUAGCAGCAGAACAUGAUAAUGAGACCAUGCACAUCCAUUCCCUUGUUUACAACAAAACAGUCACUAAUGGUGUCCAUCUUUUAACUUUAAAUGAAGUUGAUGAAGUUGAACUAGAGCAUGUAGCUGUUCAACAAGAAAAAACAAAAGAAACAAAAAAUUUUUUGUUUAAAGAAAGAGUGCUUCAGUCAGAGUAUCUUAAAAAGUAUAAUAGUAUAAAUCCUCCUAUUGAUGUUGAAACGUUUGUGAAGCGACUUGAAGACCGGGAAGACAAAAAACUUAUUAAUAGACUAACUGGUGUCGAAUGCAACAGUAAGUAUUUA
rnacentral:sRNA from 1 species